CUUGCGGGUUCCCCCAGGACUAGGGGAAGCCUAAGGCCAUGGAUGGUAAAGCCUAGAGUCUGGACCUGGGAAAUGGUUCUACCACGCGUGAUCGCAGCGCUUAUGCUGGAAAGGAGGGCAGGAAGCGUAUCGUAACGUGCGUCCGGGCGAUGACCCAGAAGGGCGGGAGUUGUGGUCACCCAUGGACUCUGGGUCCGCAUAUGGAGGCCCCCAGGGUGCAAUUCCAGGAGCACAAGGCAAAGCCACAGAGGCCACAGUGCACCUCGCCAAUACUCCCCAGGGGCACUGCCCCAAAUUUGGGGAGCAGUCCUUCCUCUGGGCUAGGGACUUUGUUUCCUCCGUUGUCAUCACUGACUGUGAGCAGACUCUAGUCUGUGCAGACUAAUGAGGAGUUAUCAAAAUGAGCUCCAAACUCCAGAUUUGUUUAGGAUCAUAAAUUAACACAAAGAAAUACGACUUUAGCAAUAAGUGCCUGGUUCAAGCCCAAGUUGCCUGAAAGCAAGGAAUUUCAGUCUUUCAGCUCCUCUGCUAAUCUAGUGACUAGGAACAGGAUCUCACUGGAACUCAAAGGUGUGGGGCACUGGAAAUACUUCUGGGUCUGUCUGCUCAGGGCUGAUUGCCUGGUUCCCAGUUUUAUUAUACAGCUUAAAUAUAGACCAGAAGAGGAGUUUGGGGCUUGAGACCUAUUUCUUGAGGAAGGAAGAGGUAAAAUAAUUCAACGUUUACUGUGUCCUUCUCCAUCCCCGGAAAUCCUCACGAGGACCCUCUCAGGUAAGGACUGACAGGGAGUGGAUUGGUUUACUGCUCGACUUUGUCCUUGAGUCACUUUGUUUAUGUCCUGCAUGUAAACUAUUGUGCACUGAUGGAAGCAUUCUAAUUCUUAUGCAGAAUGACUAGACCCCGUGCAGAAUGACUAUAUUGUGCCUCCCUCAGGCACCCCUGUCUGCACAGCACCCCCCGCCCCCAGCUGCCCAACCGCCUCUCUCCUGGCAUUCUGCUUGUAGAAGUUUGUUCUUUUGAUGCAGAGAUGCAGCACACACAGAAUCCCAGCUGGAUUACAGACUUGAACCUGAAGACCUUAUGCAGAAUGACUAUUUAUGAACCACUAAGCUUUUUUUUAAGCUUAGUACUAAAUCAGGUACUUCCCCCUCAGAGAAGGCCCUGGAGGAGGUUGAUACAUGCAUUCCCCAGUGCUCCUGCUGCUCUGGAAGUGCCUGAAAUGCCUCUCUGCAGAAGGCCUUUGGAGCAGGCACAUGGCCCACAUAGGAAUUCAGGCCUAUUUUUUUUGUUGUUAGAACACCUCAUUUAGCUUUGAAAACAUUACUAUCCAGUUUAUUCACCAUAUUGAGUACAGACAUCUCAGGUAUUUUCAAAAUUAACCCCAUUCUCUAAUACUAAUUUGCCACCAAGAGUGUAUUCCAAAGUGUUCCGAACAGGCUAGAAAAUCUUUCCAAAGAGGAGACUCCUGCGCCGUGUUGUGCAGUGAUUGCAGGGAUGGCAUAAUGUGUUUACCCAGAUACCUACCCCUUUUUUUUUGUUGUUGUGCUUUACUUGAAACUUUACAGAGCAAGUUAGUUUCUCGUUCAACCAUUUAUACACAAUUGUUUUGUGACAUUGGUUGCAAUCCUCAUGAUGUGUCAACACUCUCCUAUGCUCCAGUUCCCCAUUUCCAUCCGCCAUGAUUCCUGUUCCAUCCUGCCCUCUUUUCUGUGCUUUUGGGCAGGUUUUGCACUUUUGGUCUCAUACACAUGAUUGAACUAAGAAACACUUACCUCAUGUGUGUUAUUGUUUGUUUUACAGACCUGUCUAAUCUUUGGCUGAAGGGUGAACUUAAGAAGGUACUUUCGACUUUGUUCCUUUCCGUAAUUCCUGAAAUUCCAAGUCUACCACCUGAAGAACUUCUUUAGCGUUUCAUUUACAACAAGUCUGGUGGCAAUGAAUUCUCUUAACUUUCCUUCACCUGAGAAUGUCAGUAUUUUUCCUUUACUCAUGAAAGAAAUAACAGGAUAUAGAAAGCUGGGUUAAUGUUUCUUUUCUUUCAGUGUUGAAAAAAUGUUUUCACAGCCUUUUGGCCUCCAUGGCUUCUGAUGAUGAAUACAGAGUCAUUCCAAUUGUUUUUCCUGUAUGAAAUGAGUUGGUCCUUGUUAUUCCACAGUUGGCAGUGAGGCAUUUGGGUGUAAAAUUAUGUGAGUUUAACUUGUUGGAGUUUGCAUAGCUUCUUGAAUCUGUAAGUUUAUGUCUUUCAACAAAUUGGGAGUGUUGAGCCAGUAUUUCUUCAAAUACUUUUUUCUACACCACAUAUUUUCUCUACACCUUAUGGAAUUCCAAUAAAUAAACGUUAGAUAUUUUUGGAUUUUUUUGAGGCUCUGUUCAUUUUUUUUUCAAUAUUCUCUGUUUUCAGAUUGGAUAUUUUCAAUUGAACUAUUUUCAUCUCAUUGAUCCUUUUGUCUGUCAACAGCAUUCCGCUGUAGAGCUGAUCAAGUGAAUUUUUUAUCUCUAUUUUUCUAUUUUUCCUGUCUAAAAUUUUCAUUUGUGAAUGGUUUCUAUGUAUUUUUCUAUUUUUCUAAGUUGUGCCUGUUACUUCUUUGAGCGUGGUUAAAGUAGCUUUUUAAAGUUUUUGUCUAUGAUUCCAAGACUGUGUCUUACUUCAAUCUUACAGAAAAUGUCGAUGUUGUUUGUUUUAGGAAUCACUUGACCCAGUUAUGUUCAGGCUGCAGGUUCUUUCCCAACUUCUGUAUGCUGUGGCUCAGAUGUCAGUUCAGAUUUUGAAGACUUUGCAGUGAUAUUUGGAUGUAAUCUAUGGGAGUGUCACUCAGUCUGGGACCUUGUUGGUGUUCUAACCCAUAAUGCAGUUCUCAAAGGAUUGAUCUACUUCUUAGGGUCAGAGCAAAGCAUAUGCAACUGUGGGAGUGGGGGAGGGUAUGAAAAACAACUUUUUGGUAUCCUCUCUUGAGCCACCUGGUCUCUGUCUCUCUGAGGCUCUCUGAUGUCUGAGCAGCUACCUUCCUGGUCCACUGGCAAGAAUGUUGGGGCUUUAAUCUCUUCCUUCUGCCGUGCAAUUAAGUGACUGGGUCUGCCUAUGAGGCCAAAUAACGGUAAGAUGGAGAAAACGUAACAGAGAUUCCUCUAUAUUAUUUGGUCCUUAUAUACUCUGGUCAGAGAGAAGGCACACUGUUUCUGGUGAUACUUUGAAACAGGUAUGGAGAAAAAGGCAUUAACAGGUUGAUAGCUGCAUACUAGGUGUUACGGAUUAAAUUCUGUCUUCCCAAAAUGUAUAUAUCACCUUGACUAGGCCAUGCUUCCCAGUAUUGUGCGAUUAUCCACCAUUUUGUCGGCUGAUGUGAUUUUCCAAUGUAUUGUAAAUCCUACCUCUAUGAUGUUAAUGAGCGAAGAUUUGAAGCAGUUAUGUUAAGGAGGCAGGGCUCAAUCUACAACAUUAAGUUGUGUUUUAAGUCAAUCUCUUUUGAGAUAUAAAAGAGAAAAGAGCAGAGAGACAGGGGGACCUCAGUACCACCAAGAAAGAAGUGUCAGGAGCAGUGCAUCCUAUGGACCUAGGAUCCCUGUGCUGAGAACCUUCUUGUCCAGGGGAAGAUUGGUGACAAAGACCUUCCCCUAGGAGUGACAGAGAGAAAAAGCCUUCCCCUGGAGUUGGCACCCUGAAUUUGGACUUAUAGCCUACUAGACUGUGAGGGAAUAAUUUUCUUUGUUAAAGUCAUCCAUUUGUGGUAUUUCUGUUACAGGAGCACUAGAUAUCUAAGACACUAGGUACCAGGAGAUGUACAUUUCCCAACUCUUUCACUCCCAGGGACACUAUGACUAAGUAGCCAAUGCUAUAAAUCCAUGCGAGCAGACUAUUCUGAUUACUGCUUUGACUCUACUGUCUGUUAUGGUAACCACACCCACCUUGUCUUUGUUGAUUGAGUGCCACCACUUGGCUGCUACCACCAUGGGGACCAGUCAGCUGCAUUGUAGUUAGGUGUCUUAAUUCAGUUAGGGCAGUUCUCACUGUGGACUCUUACUUACAUAAAAUAACAACCACAGAAGUCUUCAGUAAUGCUGGGGCUUGCUUCACAAAUUUGGACCUCACCGCUAUGGUAAAAAGAGAGCCCUCUGGGCACUCCGUGUGUGGGUCUGUGGGUCCAGCCUAAUAAAUCCAUUCAAACAUGCCAAUUUCCCUCAGCCUUUGGAUACCUUCUCCUACAUUACACAGUGGCAGAUCUGCCAUUUCCACUUGAUUUAUUGUAGACCACCACUUAAUACGUGCUUCAGUAAACCAGCCAAAUAAACUAUGAGAUCCUUUUCUAACCUCUCAAGCUGAAACACUGAGUGAAGAAUCUGUGCUUCUUGGGCCUAUAUCAAUAAACUCAGAGUACUCCACCUUUAUGUUGCUUGCACCAUUAUCCCACACCCAGAAUAGCCAUUCCCACACAUAUUCACCAGGUUUCUGUAUGUAUGUAUUAGAAAAAUCAAGCAGUUCUUUUGGAGUUUAGCAUACCGUCUCCUGGGUCACACUUCAUAGUUCACCUUUUGGGGCUUGUUGGGACUGAAGUCUAGGUAUAGGUCUAGAAGCAAAAAUGGGCAGUGGCAGUGGGAUGUUCAGCCCUGUCUUAUAAGGCAUCUGCCUACGGUGAUGCCCCAGGCAAUGCCCCAGAUCCCACCCCAGGAGAUAACUCAAACAAGACACUUCAGGCACAGCUGGGGUAAUCUCAUCAGAUGGAGGUGGAAGGGAUAAUUGUUUUACUGGGAAGGGUGCCUUAGCAGGCAAAGUUAGAGAAUCUCUUCAGAUGGGAGUAAGUGGUCUGGUUCUGUUAGGAAGAGCGAUUCAACGGAAAUUGGAGGUUCAUUGUCCCCCGCUUCCUGACUGUCUGCCCAUAUGUCCUCAUCCCAAGUUUCAGGAUCCCAUUUCUUCCCAAUCAGUGCCCUCACUUUAACUUCGGACACCAUUUGAGGCUGGAUAUUCAACUGGCGCUUUAAUUCAGUCACUCUUAAGAUAAGAAUCUGAGUUUAUUUUUGGCAGCAUUAGCCUUGUUACUAUAAGAAAUAUGGUUUUCUUUCUGGGCACAAGUGGCAGCUUUCAGAUCUUGUAUGUGGUGCUUGAGCUUUGAGUCCAUUUCUUUCAUUCACCAGUGUGGCUAGCAAAAGCAGGACCAACCAAGCAGCUUCCUUAUUAUUCUUAUUCUCACAAAAUUAUAGAAAAGUAUCAAAUAUAUAAUCAGGCAGAGCCUUGUCUCUCACAAGUAUUUGAUCCAGUGGUAGUAGUAUUUUGUGUAUUUCUAUUGUCACCUCACACCAUGGAUUAGCAAUAGCCUGUUUACUUCUGGAGACAGUCAUCAGUGCCUUUAAGACUAGCCAGACUUGAGAAUCAAUUCAGAAAACUCAUCCUUAAGAUUUGGUUCCUCUAGAACCAGUGUAGGUACCAAAUGUCUUAGCCUGGGAUCUGUAGAGGUGCAAAACUAGUGAAGAGAACAUGUAUAUAUAUACACAUAUAUAUGAGUGUGUGUAUAUGUGUGUGUGUUUGUGUAUAUAUAUAUAUAUGGAAACCCUAGUUGCAUAAUGGUUAAUAGGUAUAGCUGCUAACAAAAGGUUAGCAGUUCGAAUCCACCAGGCACUCCUUGGGAACUCUGUGGGGCAGUUCUACUCUGUCCUGUAGGGUCACUAUGAGUUGGAACCGACUCGAUGGCAAUGGGUAUACACACAGACACACACACACACAUAUAUAUGCAUACGUGCAUAUGUUAGUUGUUGUUGCUGUUAGAUGCCAUCGAUCCUGUGUAAAACAGAAUGAAACACUGCCUGAUCCUGAACCAUCCUCACAAUCAUUGCUAUGUUUGAGCCCAUUCUUGCAGCCAGUGUGUCAGUUCAUGUUGUUGAGCGCCUUCCUCUUUUUUUCUGACCCUCAGCUUUUCCAAGCAUGAUGAGCCUCUCCUGGGACAGGUCUCUCCUGAAAAUAUGUCCAAGGCACGUGAGACGAAGUCUCGCCAUCCUUGCUUCUAAGGUACAUUCUUGGUGUACUUCUUCCAAGAUGGUUUUGUUUAUUCUUCUGGCAGUCCAUGGUAUAUUCAGUAUUCUUUGCCAACACCAUAUUUUAAAUGAAUCAGUUCUUCGGUUUUCCGUAUUCAUUGUCUAACUUGCUCAAGCAUGUGAGGUGAUAGAAAAUAUCAUGGCUUUGCUCAGGCACACCUUAGUCCUCAAAGUGACAUCUUUCCUUCACAACACUUUAAGGAGGUCUUUUGCAAUAGAUUUGCCCAAUGCAAUACAUUGUUUGAAUUCUUGACUGCUGCAUCUGUGGGCAUUGAUUAUGGAUUCAAGUAAAAAGAAUUGCUCGAUGACUUCAGUAUUUUCUCUAUUUAUCAUGGUGUUGCUUACUGGUCCAGUUGUGAGGAUUUUUGUUUUCUUUAUGUUGAGGUGUAAUCCAUACUGAAGGCUGUAGUGGUUGCUCUUCAUCAGUAACUGCUUCAAGUCCUCUUUACUUUCAGCAAGCAAGGUCGUAUCAGCUGCAUAUCAUAGGUUGUUAGUGAAUCUUUCUCCAAAACUAAUGCCAUGUUCUUCUUCUUACAGACCAGCUUCUCAGAUUAUUUGCUCAGCAUACAGAUUGAGUAAGUAUGGUGAAAGGAUACCACCAUGACACAUAACUUUCUCAUUUUAAACCAGACAGUAUCCCCUUGCCCUACUCAAAUGACUGCCUCUUGGUCUACGUAGAUAUUCCGCAUGACUACAGUUAAGUGUUCUGGAAUUCCCAUUCUUUGGUAAGCUAUCCAUAAUUUGUCAUGAGCCACACAGUUGAGUGUGCUUGUAUAGUAAACAAAAAUAGGUAAACAUCUUACUGAUAUUCUCUACUUUCAGCCAAGAUCCAUCAGACAUCAGAAAUGAUAUCCCACAUUCCAUGUCUUCCUCUGAAUCCAGCUUGAAUUUUUGGUAGUUCCCUGUCUGUGUACUGCUGCAAUUGUUUUUAAAUUAUAUUCAGCAAAAUUUUUCUUGCGUGUGAUGUUAAUGAUGUUGCGCGAUAAUUUCCUCAUUGCGUUGGACCACCUCUCUUUGGAAUGGGCACACAUAUAGAUCUCUUUCAGUCAUUUGGUCAGGUAGCUGUCUUCCAAAUAUAUUGGAAUAGACAAGUGAGCGCCUCCAGCACUGCAUCCAUGUGUUGAAACAUCUCAUUUGGUACUCUAUCAAUUCCUGGAGCCAUUUUUUUUGCCAAUGCCUUCAGUGCAGCUUGGAGUUCUUCCUUCAGUACCAUCAGCUCUUGAUCCUAUGCUACCUCCUGAAAUGGUUGAACGUCGACCAAUUGUUUUUGGUGUAUUGAGUCUGUGUAUUCCUUCCAUCUACUUUUGAUGUUUCCUGUGUUGUUCGAUAUUUUGCCCAUAGAAUCCUUCAGUAUUGCACCUAGAGGCUUGAAUAUUUCCUUCAGUUCUUUCAGCUUGAGAAAUGCCAGGUGUUUUCUUCCCUUUUGGUUUUCUAACUCCAGAUCUGUUCACAUUAUAUUAUCAUACUUUGUCUUCUCCAGCUUCCCUUUCAGGUAUUCUAUUGAGCUCUUUUACUUUAUUUUUCCUUCCAUUCUCUUUAGCUACUGUACAUUCAAGAGCAAGAUUCAGAGUCUCUUGUGACAUCCUCUUUGGUCUUUGCUUUCUUUCCUGUCUUUCUAAUGACUGUUUUUUUCAUAUAUGAUGUCCUUGCUAUCAUCCCACAACUAAUCUGGUCCUCGAUCCUUAGUGUGCAGUGCAUCAAAUCUAUUCUUGAGAUGGUCUCUAAAUUCAGGUUUGAUAUACUCAAGGACAUACUUUGACUCAUGGACUUGUUUUAAUUUUCUUCAGCUUCAACUUGAACGUGAAUAUGAGCAACUGAUCAUCUGUUCUGCAGUCAGCCCCUGGCCUGCUUCUGACUCAUGAUAUUGACCUUCUCCAUCAUCACCUUCCACAAAUUUGAUUCCUGUCUAUUCUGCCUGGAAUGGUUCAUGAGUAUAGUCACCGUUUAUGUUCCUGAUGAAAGCUUAAAUACAGACCAGAAGAGGAGUUUGGGGCUUGACACCUGACGUCUUAACACCAGUUCCUGUUUCUUGAGGAAGGAAGAGGUAAAAUAAAUCAGCGUUUACUGUGUCCUUCUCCAUCCCCGGAAGUCUUCAUGAAGACCCUCUCAGCUUCUACUUGAACGUGAAUAUGAGCAACUGAUCAUCUGUUCUGCGGUCAGCCCCUGGCCUGAUUCUGACUCAUGAUAUUGACCUUCUCCAUCAUCACCUUCCACAAAUUUGAUUCCUAUCUAUUCUGCCUGGAAUAGUUCAUGAGUAUAGUCACCAUUUAUGUUCCUGACGAAAGACAUUAUGCUCAUUCUCAGGGCCCUGAGACCUCAUCUGCAGCAGGUGAAGGCAUUCGUGGAGAGAGGCGGUUUCCGUGCGUGCAGGCAAAGUGUGUGCUGAGAUGAGUCGCUGGAGACUGGGGUGGACUCCUCAGACCCAGGAUAGGCCUCUGGCAGGCAUUCUAUCAGGCAUUCCAAGCUGUGAAGUGCCUGGGAGGAGAAGGAAGAGAUUUCAGAGAAUGAACACAUACAGAGAGACAGGCAAGAGACGGUGAGUGGGGAUGUCUUGCCUACUGAUAUCCUCAGGAAAGUGGGAAAAUUGGACCCUGGCCUGCUAUGACAAUGCCCUGAAGCAGUCCGCACCAGGGGCUCCCUUGUGCCUGCAUAGCCUUUCCCAGGGUGUGCUCAAAUCCUGUGGCCACUAGGUGUCCUGGGUCACAAUGGAGGGCCCUGUGUCAUCUGCCUGUUGGGCUGGAUCUCUGCCAUUGGCUGAGUCUUGUCACCAGGCCCAUCAUAAGCUCUGCCCACUCUUCCUGUGGGGGGACUGUCUCCAUGGUGAUGGCAAAGAAGCCUGAGUUCCGCCCACCUGGCCUUGACUUCACCUACCUGGCCUGCUGACCCUCACUCAGACCUCUGUGUUGAUCAAAAUGAGUGUCCGCCAGUGGCCAGGUGUCAGCAUCUGGGAUAAAGGAUUGGGGACCUUGCCUGGGGCAGAAGGCAGCCUAGGUCUGUGGGUACCUGGAAGUCUUGUGACUUCUGCCGCUGCUGCCAGUGACAGAUGGUGACUCCCACACUCACAUAUCCCCUGGUGGCAGAAGGAUAGUGAUGGGCGGAGAAACAUGGCUCCGGAGCACACUUUAAAUGCGGCACCAGCCAAAGGCCAGGGCAAGGAGUGGACGUCGUGGAGCUUAAUUGCAAGCCAGUGAAGGGCCCAAGGAUUUCUCCUAUAUGUGGCAAACAGGUCAUCCGUGUCCCCACGUCCAUAAACCACUGGACUGCAGUGCCAGACUGCCAGGAUUUCGGCCUUGCCAUUGGAGCCCGUCCACAUACGCUGCGUUGCACCGGAGGCGGGGACAUGUAGACAGCAAAAAUUUGGAAAAUGGCAUCAUCUCUUCAAUUUCCCUAGCAUUGGCCUUUUUCAGUGGCAUGCUUUGUUUCCUAGUAGGAUAAGGCACUGACGGAGAAAGGCAGGAGUAUGUGUGUAGGAAAGGUGUGUGCCGAAAGGGUGACGACGUUGAGACCACGUUGGGAUCUUUAGUCCCAGGAAAGGCCCCUGGCAGGUGUGGGUCAAUGUUCUCUGCUCAUCCGAGUUGGCGGGGGAGGUUUUCACCAAACAAAGCAGCAGUGGAAUUAUUCGUAGCCUGAGAGGUUGCAUCUGCCCACAAGCUCCACCUGGCCAGGGUCCGCCCCUACUGUAUUGCCCAUGUCAAUCAACAGAAGCUAAGACCUUCCAGAGAGACUACCUGCUAUUGUCUACCCACCGGGAAGCGGUCCAGCCAGAAGCCUCCCCCGUUUCAUCUCCAGGCUCUCUGUCAGGCCCCUCAUACUUGUGAUGUGUCUCAGGGGUAGAAGGAAGAGAUUUCUCUGAAUGAACACAUCCAGAGAGGAGCCAUAGAUGCUGAGGAAGGGCGCCUUGUCUACUGAUAUCCUAGCGUAAGUGUAAAAGAGGUACCUGCCUGCUGUCCCAGUGUGUCGAACGUGUCCACAUCAGGGGUUGGCUACUGUAAAAUUAUUCCCUGGUGCCCUCGAUUUUGUGGCCAAAGACACGAGGGGCCGUUGUGUGUCCAUGGGUACAAUGGAGGGCUCUGCGGAACGGGCUGGUUAGGCUGGACUUCUCCUAUUGGCUCAGUGUUUGUGACUCGUCCCCGUCAGAAGUUCCGCCCAGCCUUCUGGUGGCUGUCUCCAUGAGGAUUGGGAAAGAAGCCCUAGGCCCCGCACUCGGCCUUCACCUGGCCUACCUGGCCUCUUUACCCUCAUCUAGACCGCUCUGUGCAUGAAAGAAAGGAUGUCGGCCACUGACCAAGCAUCCUCAUUUCCUUGGAAGUAUUAGGCUCCUUGCGUGGGCAGAAGACAGCCAAGGUCAGCCUGAGCCUAGACACCUAGUGACCUGUGACACUGCAGCCAGCGAUAGAUGUUGAUGUCCACGCUCAGGUAUCCGCAGUUGACGGAUUCAGAGUGGUCAGAGGAGAAGUGUAACUAGAGAUCACACACUCAUGA